rnacentral:rRNA from 1 species
UACGGAGGAUCCAAGCGUUAUCCGGAAUUACUGGGCGUAAAGAGUUGCGUAGGUGGCAUUGUAAGCAAAUAGUGAAAGCGUGGGGCUCAACCUCAUACACAUUAUUUGAACUGCAAAGCUAGAGGACAAGAGAGGUCGCUGGAAUUCCUAGUGUAGGAGUGAAAUCCGUAGAUAUUAGGAGGAACACCGAUGGCGUAGGCAGGCGACUGGCUUGUUCCUGACACUAAGGCACGAAAGCAUGGGGAGCAAACGGG